GGGUCCUCAAAGAGUCCGGGAGCCUUUCUCAACAUCUCUCGUGUGGGAAGACCAUCUGCUCCAUGCUGCUUGCCACACAAAUCACCAUUGUGUAGCCCCACGGCAUUGAGCGCACUGUCAUCUCCGUGUGGGUGCUCGGCAAACAGUAAUUGAUGGUGACCAGGAGGAUAAUGAUGUUGAUGAAUGACUUCAUGAAACUGAUGAGUCACUGGACUGGAAAGGCUCAGGCACAGCAGUUAUGUAAUGCUGCUUCACCAAACAGGGACACAGCUGCUUCUCUUUGGCUCAAGAUCUACCGAAACUUACCAAAACUCCCACAGAAGUUAGCCAUUAAAUAAAUGAGAAGAUGAAGCAAGAAGCCUGAGUCAGACAAUAAAAACAAUGUAACUGACAUGAGACACACAUAUAUACUUCAUUGAAAAUUCAAAUUUUGAAUCUAGGAUUCCCCUACUUGAAAAUCCAUCAGUUGAAUCAACAUUUCCUUAGGCAAUGGGAUUCUUCAUGAGGAGUAUAUUGGAAGCCAGACGUGACUCACAGUCUCAUGGCAAUCUGCACAAUGAUGAGUACUCCACAAAAGACAGGUCCUCUAGAGAAGGUGGACUCCCUACAGAAAAUGCCUAUAUUCACCUUUGGAAGGACCCUGCAAAGCACAUCAUUUCCAACCUUCUUCUUAGGGGACCAGGAUGCCUCGAAAUUCCCCUUCCUCUCUCCUGAGGAGAGCUCCUUCUGAAGACUCCCCAACCCCAAGGCCAUGUCUUAGUGUCAGUGUGAGCAGAAGGACACACACUUCUAGGAUAUGGUAGGUAGCCCCUUC